CAUAGCGACUAUCGUGGCAUAUCAAUAAGCGGAGGAAAAGAAACUAACAAGGAUUCCCCUAGUAACGGCGAGUGAAGCGGGAAGAGCUCAAAUUUGUAAUCUUAAAGGGUUUCCCUUUACGAAUUGUAGUUUAAAGAAGUGUUUUCUGUUGGAGUUUCGGUAAAAGUUCUUUGGAAUAGGACAUCAUAGAGGGUGAGAAUCCCGUAUUUGACCGUUACUUUCCAGCUGUGUGAUACACUUUCAAAGAGUCGGAUUGUUUGGGAAUGCAGUCCAAAAUGGGUGGUAAAUUUCAUCUAAAGCUAAAUAUUGGCGAGAGACCGAUAGCGAACAAGUACCGUGAGGGAAAGAUGAAAAGAACUUUGAAAAGAGAGUUAAACAGUACGUGAAAUUGUCAAAAGGGAAGCGUUUGACACCAGUGUUGUUUAGUUGAAAAUCAAUUCAAUAAUUUUUGAUUUUGAGUAGUAUUGACUUCAUCAGCUUGCUGCUUUCUUUUCGAAAUUAUUGAAUGCACUUUUCAGUUAACAAGUCAACAUCAAUUUCUUUUGUUGUAAAAGGGUAAGAGGAAGGUGGCUUACGCUUCGGCGUAAGUGUUUAUAGCCUUUUACCUCUGCAAUCGGAGAGAUUGAGGACAGCAGCGUAGACUCCUUCUGGGGUUAGAUACACUUGUGCUAAGCUAUAGCCUUGUAUAGACAACUUGUUGACUAUGCUCAGUCAUGUAGCUUACUCGCUUGUGCUAUUUUACCUACGCUUAGGAUGUUGAUAGUCACAGCGUUAC
rnacentral:rRNA from 1 species